CAGAGCAGCCUCAGUGUACUCAGGAGUGUUCACACAGAUCUUUAAAGAGGAGAGAGGACUGUACCAGGACAGGGUGUUCUGCUUUGUCCAUCUGAGUGUUCAGGAGUUUCUGGCUGCUCUUCAUGUUCAUCUGACCUUCUUCUGCUCUGAACUCAAUCUUCUGGAAAAACAAACACCCUCCAAAAAGUAUGAAUCAAGAGAAUCUGCAGAGACACGUUUAUAUCAGAGUGCUGUGGACAGCGCUUUACAGAGUCCAAAUGGACAUCUGGACUUGUUCCUCCGCUUCCUCCUGGGUCUUUCAUGGGAAACCAACCAAGCUCUGCUACAAGGACUGCUGACGAAGACAAGAAGUAGCUCAGUGACAAUUCAGAAAACAGUGGAGUACAUCAAGAAUAAUAUCAGUGACAAUUUGUCUGCAGAGAAAAGCAUCAACCUGUUCCACUGUUUGAACGAACUGAAUGAUCAUUCUCUAGUGGAGGAGAUCCAACAGUCCCUGAAUUCAGGAAGUCUCUCUAGGGAUGAACUGUCUCCAGCUCAGUGGUCAGCUCUGGUCUUCAUCUUACUUUCAUCAGAAAAAGAUUUGAAUGUGUUUGAUCUGAAGAAGUACUCCCCCUCUGAGGAGGGUCUUCUCAGGCUACUUCCAGUGGUCAAGUCCUCCAAGAAAGCUUUAAUGAGUGGCUGUAACCUCUCAGAGAAAAGCUGUGAAGGUUUGUCCUCAAUUCUCAGCUCCCAGUCCUCACAUCUGAGAGAGUUGGACCUGAGUAACAAUGACCUGAAUGUUUGGGGAGUGAAAAAGCUUUCUGCUGGGCUGGAGAGUCCACAUUGUAAACUGGAAACUCUCAGUCUGUCAGGCUGUCUGAUCACAGAGGAAGGUUGUGCUUCUCUGGCCUUAGCUAUUCAUUCCAACCCAUCAUCCCAUCUGCGACAGCUCGACCUGAGCUACAAUCAUACAGGAGACGGGGGGAAGCUGCUGCUAUGCGGACUUGAGGAUCCACUCAGGAGGCUGGAGACUCUCAGCUUGGAACCGGUUGGUGUCGAGUGGUUGAUACCAGGUCUGAGGAAGUAUUCCUGUCAACUCACAAUCGACACAAACACAGUAAACAGAAAACUCCAACUAUCUGACAACAACAGGAAGGUAACCCAUCUGAAAGAGGAUCAGUCGUAUCCUGAUCAUCCAGACAGAUUUGACCGUCCUCAGCUGUUGUGUAACAAUGGUCUGACUGGUCGUUGUUACUGGGAGGUCGAGUGGAGAGGAAGGGUUGAUAUUGCCGUGAGUUAUAAAGGAAUCAGAAGGAAAGGAGACAAAAACCACUCAUGGCUUGGAAGGAAUGAUCAGUCCUGGUGCCUGAGCUGCUUUCAUGAUGGUUACUCUUUGUGCCACAACAACAGUGUAACAUUCAGUCGUCUCCCCUCCUCAUCCUCUGUCUCUAACAGAGUAGCAGUGUAUUUGGAUGCUGCUGCUGGCACUCUGUCCUUCUACAGAGUCUCUUCUGACAGCCUCAAUCACAUUCACACCUUCAACACCACAUUCACUGAACCUCUUUAUCCUGGGUUUGGGCUUCAGAAUGACACCUCACUGAUUAUAUGUGACUUAAAAGAACACAGAGAAAAACUCAGAACUCUGAAAUCAUCUAAAACAAACAUUAGCAAUAAGCUGCCUUAGUAUUUUUUUUUUUUUUCAAAAGAAAACAACAGGCAAAGCUUUGUUACUUUAAAAUCCUCCUGAUAUGGCUGCUGCUUUAUCUUUAGUUGUGGGACCAAACAGAAAUGGAAGUGUGUGAGGACUGUCCUGGUAUCAAUCUGUCCUUCUAGAGACUCUCGCCUGAUUUCCUCAUCCACAUUCAGGCCAUGAGUAUCACAAUAGCCGAGCCUCAUUAGUUUGGUUUUAGGUUUCAGAAUGACACCUCAGUGUAUUUAAAAGAGUUUAAGAUGUUUUUAAUUAUGAUGGUUCAACUGUGAGUGCCAGCAUUAUCCAAUGAACAGUACUGGCUUUUUGUUAUGUGCCUGCUGUGUAUUAUGGAGGAGCUGUUAAGAAGACAACCAACUCUUUUAUUGUUUACCAAUAAUUUUAGAGCUGUUUUAUAAUGAAAGUCAGUUGUUGGUGUUUUUGAAAAAUACAUAAAUACGUAUGUUCAUACAUAAAUUGUCAAAACGUGAGCUUUGA